rnacentral:tRNA from 1 species
GGGCGCAUAGCUCAGUGGGAGAGCAUCCGCCUUACAAGCGGAAGGUCGUAGGUUCGAAACCUACUGCGCCCA